GAAUUGGGUGGUUGGUUCUGUG
rnacentral:siRNA from 1 species